rnacentral:lncRNA from 1 species
ACAAUUCAUAAAAAUACAGUUCCGACCUCACAAAAAGAUGCGUCCAAAGGCAUCAAAGCAAGGCCAAACUCCGACCUCCCGAAGGAGUUCGGAGCACUAUGGCCAAAAGGUACUUAAAAAGUGAUCGCUGACGCUAAGCUCAGCUUACAACGAGGUCUAGACAGCAAAUAACCUGGAAGAUACCCAGGGAUAUACGAAGCAUCACAAGCCAUAGGUGUAAAAGCCUACGUAAAGAGUGAAGAGCCGAGCUCUUAGCUCAAAAACUCGAGUCAGUUCGCCAUACAUAGACAUCCGAGCUCAUAACCAAGGAAACAGAAAACAAUCGUUUACCCCCUCAACACUCAUGUAAUGAAAGGUUGAGGAGGUAAAGGGGGCAAUUUGGGAAGAAAGGACCUCAGCUUCAUUUCCUGGCAAGAUAGAACUAAAAGCAAAAAGGCAGCCCUGCUAAUCACCAUUAGAAGGUAUGUGAUCUGACUUAUAAGUUCAGACAGUUGGCUAAGAAUCGGGCUCAUGACUAAAGGCUAAUCUAGUUCAGAAAAAGCUUAUGAAUAAAAAUAUACAAUGUAAGCAUUACAGUUACGAGAAGGAGAGAUAAAUUAUAAAGCGAAAAACAGCUCAAGUAAACAGAAAUUAAAAUUUCAUUAAGAAUACAGGGCUGUUACAAUCUACUUAUCGGACGAGGUUGAAGGA